GCGUACGAAGUCGCGGGCAGAAGCUAGUUACUUAAAAUAAAAUAGGUACUAUACCUACUAGUUGUGUCCCGCAGCCUUAACCCUAGAUAGAUAACCUACGUCGAAACGACGUAAUCGAUUUUGAAAAAUCGUUAUAACUCAUUUGUUUUUCGCGUUAUUAUCCUGCCCGUUCCUGUCAACUCAGUCGGCCGUCGGAGCUUGUAGGACAUACCCAUAUCGCCCCGGCCACGAUAAAAAUUACAUUAUGACGUCACGAUACCGUGCAGACGAUGCAGCAACCUGUCGGUUGUUGCGUGAAACAAGCGAUGAAGAGAUUGAGGUGUCGGACAGUGAAACUGAUGACUGUUUAUUAGAAGAUGAAGUACAAAGUGAUGCAGAAGACUUUGAAGACAGUGCACCAGUGAAGGGAAACACUGAUGCUGAAGACAUGUUUGGAAAUAACCCCGAAAUUUCUGAAAGUGCUUCGCUAACUAUGCCGAGUUGUAUUGUCAUGCCAUAGCGUCAAAUUCUCAGUGGCAAAAGCGAUCAUCCUUGGACGGCGAGUAAGACAGAACACGUGGCAGAGUAUCUGCUGCUGAUAAUAUGAUUUGUAAGAAAGAAAAACCGCUGGGUCGUAAAGAUUUUAUGAAGAAACUCAGCGGUAGCCUGAUGACCACAUGGAUGUAGACAAGGCGUAAAAUGGUCACUUUGCCGAUAAAUAUCAAAGAAAUAAAUAGUAGUAUACUGCCAAAAAGACCAGCCAAACCUCCCACACAACAUGAAAGUGUACCUGAGCUAAAAAAAAGGAAAUAUUGUGCCUUUUGUUCUUCAAAAAUUAGAAGGAUGACAAAGACAAUGUCCGACAGCUGCAAAAAUCUCAUUUGUGGAGAGCUCAAGUCUAGCGCUUGCCCUAAGUGCCUUGCAUGCUAAAAUGAAUUAAAAUUGUGAUUUACUUUAAUUUGUUAUAUACUAGAGAUUAAAAAAAAAUGAUUUUUAAAAGUUUACACAAUAAAUUAUAAGGAUGAUGGAAAGAUUGCUAAACGUUUAUGUUUCGAAAAGUAAAAAUUAUCUUGUUUUGUACUUAAUUUUUUUUUCUUAUAAAAAUAUAAAUAAA